CGGUGCGCCCACAGCUGCGCAGAGAGCCCCGGGACCCCUGGCUCUAUUACUUUUUAUCGUUCCGCAUCUGUAGGUUGGUGUCUGACUCAUCCUGCGUGGUCCAGUGGGUAAUGGCACGUGUUCUGAGAAAGGCUGGCGUAGUUCUUAGUCAGUCCCACUAUUCCUUAAUGCCACUUUUAAUCUUUAAAGCACCGUAUAAACAUCUGUGCCUGCAAUACGCUAAUCCCUGUCUGAUAAAGGGGCAAACCAGGAUACAGAUGUUCAGCACCAUCUUCUUGCGGCCAUCGCAGAGGAGCACAUCAGAGAUAAAGCUAGCAUGUGGGAUAUCUUGGCUGAGACCUAAGCUCAGACCACUCUGCUUUUUGUAUCGCAAUGGACAGGAGAUUUUAUUUUCAGAAAGGUGCUUCUGUUAUGUUUCUUCCUUUUAUUUUAAAGCAACAAUGCUUGAAUUUUGGCAAAGAGUUUGCUCUGCAGGUGACACAUUUCCUUGCACCGGGCAGGAGCAGAGUGGGAUGUACCUGGGGCUGGAUGACUAAAUCUGUCCUCCUGCUUCUGAUGCACCCAACACUCCAUGUAACGCAAUGUGGAGACUGGCUCGCCCUUUUUGUUGAUACCAUUAACGCAGAAUAAGCAGCAAUGGUGCUUAGGCCAGGCCAGGUAUGUAACGUUUUUGUCUUUAAGCGAGUAGAGACACCUGUGACUGCAUUUUGUGUAUAGUUUAUUCAUAGUUAGCCUAAAUAGGAGGGAAAAAGGACAAUUGUAUAGGUGCAAACUACAGUGAAGUAAUGGGUGUCACGAUUUUGAAGGAGCCAUCUUUGUUCUGAACCAAAACUAGGUAUGUAAGGUCAGCAGACAUGUACAAAACCACACAAAUACACACACACAGACGUUUAUAAAAUGUGCAGUUAGCACACUGAAUGUAUGUAAUCACGUGGUAAAAGAUGAACCCCAGGAGUUUGUGAGCUUGUUUUCUCUUUAGAGACAGCUUAGCUUUUCCUAGCACGUGUAAUCAGAGAUGUUCAAACAGUGGGUUUUACACUGGUGUGAAUUCUGCUGAUUUACACAAGAAACAUUGCACUGCUGUGGCUGCAGAUGCAGUCCCCAAAUCUGUCAGGCCUCUUUACUGCAGUUGUUUGUAUCAGUUGUGUUUCAGCGCUAACUUAGGUUAGACAUGCUGCAGCGUUAAUCUAGGAAAACGUGGAGGAGCUCCCGAAUUCACCUCAGUCCUGGUUCAAAUGUGUCAGGACUUGGGUGAUAAAACGCUGGCGGCUGCUGAACUGCAAUGAUUCCUCACAAGCCUCAGAUCUGCAUGUUUUUGAGCAAAGAAGCCGCAGGCACAGGGUGAGGACUUCUGGGUGCACUCCAGCAGUGAGCUAGCAAAUCUUGGCCAAGAAUGGCCAGAGCGAGCUGGCCAUGGCUUAACAUCCUAUUUCUGUUUUGACUUGGUGGGUGCUGAUGGCAAGGUAUUUUACACAUUGCUAGCUCUUGCUCUGCAGCAUGUCUUCUUGUGUUUUCUUUGAAAAGCUGCAGGUCAAAUGAGUUGACGAAUGCUGGAGCUGUUUGUGCUGGGCAUUAAAAAUGUAUGUGCCAUAAAUAUCAGGGCAUUACUAGAGCUGCUGUUCUGGAGGAGGAAGUCACUGCAGGCUAUCUGCUCUAGCCCGCAGGGAUAAUCUGACAUUUCUGCGUCGCUUUAAACAACUUCCGUCACAUCAGGUGAAGCAAUUCAUGAUAACCUCAUGCAUUUUAAUGGAAAUGUCAACUGCAAUCUAGUAAAAGAAAACGUUACUUAGAUACCUUGUCUAACACCUCAUUGCUUGCCCAUGCAUGGUGGCUCCUGAAGGAGAUUUCGGUAAACCCAUCGACUUACCCGUAUCGUUCUUUCCAGGUUAAACCCAUCCUGCUGUCUGCUGAUGGGGAGGUGUAUGGGCACUGAUUGCUCCUCAAUGGAGGGUGGGAGUUUAACCUUUGCUAGAGCAGGGAGCUCUGUCCUGCCAGAGGCUGGUGCUCCCACAUGUGAUAUAAAUUACAGUUUAGCCAAGGAGCAGCACAGUAUUAGCAGAGAUAAUGGGAUCAGUGCCUUGCUGCAUGUGUUUUCCUGCAAGUCCAUGCAUAGAGCAGUAUAAUGCAGCAUAUAAUAACAGGUUCUAAUUCUUUGUAGGUCAUGUAUGAUCACUAAUUCAGCUGUGGUGACAGUGGCAAAGGCAACUGUGGGAGACAAUCUUGUAGCCUUGGCUACCUGCCAUGUGUUUUGGAGGCCCAGGUAAGUGGCAAAUCCUCAUGAGAUUGGGGAGUCUGCCACAUAAUACCUCACACACUUCUGUUUGAGCUAUCAGGUGCAUGUGAAAGGUCUCCGGCUCCCAGAAGAACACCCACAAAGAGAUAAUGCAACUCCGGAAAGUUUUAAGGACUCUACAGGCAAGUGUGCUGCCAUCCAUGUUCCUGGGCUUGAGUCAGUAGGUCACCCAGGCUCUCCGUGGAUAAUAUAAUCAGAGCACGGGAUAAAGACAUGUUGAGCAUGGACAAGGUCCAUUGGAAAUGCUUGAGUAGUUUCUUUCAUAAAUGGUAUAACAUCUGUUGUCGUUGGAGGCACAAGUUCCUGUCAAAGAGGCAUGUCAUCCUUAUAAAUAUUAAUGCAGACUUGGCAGCAGUGCUCAUGUUCAUCAGCUGGGGCACAGAAGAACAGUUCAUGCCAGCCACAAUGCUAAUGAGUAGCAUUCAAAAGGGUCUUACGUCCAUUCACAGAAGAGCCCCAAGACUGCGUUUGCUGCCUGUGAAGGCUCAGGUUCCCCUUUGACUGAGAGGAUGGGGCCUGCUUUCUGCCAUUUCAGAGCUUUGCUCUUGGAGGCUUUCUGGCACAGCUUUGCUAGACUUCUCAGGAUCUGGGAAGGAAUCAACUCGUCAGUCCCACGCCUCUGUGUUGUGUGCCUGGGAUCAAACCAUUCACCUGCAAGAUGCAAGCUCAAGCAGUUGGCCAACACCAAACCCACAGUUGCCUGGUCUUGAGUGGAGCCCACUUCCUGUCUCUAACACCCGUAAUUAGGGACAAGCCCAGAAGGAGAAACAAGACUGAUUCCUUGAAGAGCUCAUCUGGAGGAUCAGGAAGGACAGAGUGGAUGGCUUCAGUACAAGCUCUGAGCUUUGCACCAUCUGGAGCUGGGUCAGACGGAUGCAUGGAGGUUCUAGUCAUGGUCUGCUGCCUUUACUCAAUCAGCUGCUACUCAGGAAAUGACAAGAGGAAAAGCAAAGCAGAGGUAACCUGCCCUUUCCAGAGAUACGCGGCAGAUCAUAAGAUUGGACUACAUCCCCAGAUCAUGGACCACUCGUGAGCCGCGUGUUUCUAUCAGCCACAUCCUGCAUCUUGUGGGAACUCUCUGGAGAUCACACCAAGCAGGAGACUGUCCUUUUUUAUAGGGAUGAGGAUGUCUUCUUUCUCUGGAGGAACCAAAGGGUGUAGGAAGUCCUGCUAGCUCUUGGGGAACAGUUGCUCAUUGGAAGGAAGACCAGAGCCCUGAUGGGAUGAAAAGCAGCCAGGAGCCACGAGAAGGAGCUGUGCCCUGGCUUCGCUCUGUCAAAAAGCAGAAGAGGCCAUGACACAUGUAACCUCCCCAAGGAGUCUUCCAGAAGAAUACCUGUGAUCAGCUGGGUGUUUUGUUGUGUUUCAAAGAUGAUGUUUCCUCCUGUCUCCCCAUUCCUGGUGCGUACAUAUACACACAUGCAGAGAGCGACUCACUUGCACACCUGCACACAGAAGAUUUUUCAGAAGAUACAAAUUUUGCUGUAGAACAUAAGUGAACUCUCUUUCAAAGGUGGAUCCCACUGAGCUGGGGGAAAGGGGCUCAGCCCUUCCCCAAACCAGUGCCUGACUUUGAAGGUGAGGACAGGCAGAUCUCUGGAGUGCCCCCCUCCUCAGGAGCCAGGGAUCCCAUCAGGAGGAGGAGGAGGACAAAGAGGAGAGGCAGAGAAACGCUCUGCAGAGUCUCAGGGAAGGUCACUGCAGGUAUUUGCUGGAGUGGCUCGACAUAGAUUUAAGUGUCAAGCAACAUGUCAAUGGCUCCCGUGUUAGCUCAGCCCCACAGCAGUUGAUAUUGAAUCCAGCUGAACAGCCACACUAAGCCCAUGCCGUUCACUGCAGCCGUUUUCUGCUGUACGAGCUAAUUAAUUAGUUUCUGCAAAGUCCUUUGAAGGGGUAAAGCGCAGCAUUAUCCAGAGGGUGUGGGCUUCAAAGCUUAAUGGGCGCUACUUGGAUAUGAACAGAGGUAGUAAACUUGGUUCAUAAGUUCUUUAAAACAUAAAAGAACAGGGAAAGCAUCUGAA